rnacentral:rRNA from 1 species
AGUCGAACGCGAARGGGCUUCGGCCCUGAGUAGAGUGGCGAACGGGUGAGUAACACGUGGGUGAUCUACCUUUGAGUGGGGGAUAACGUUCCGAAAGGAGCGCUAAUACCGCAUGACGUUCUGGGUUUGAAGACCUGGAAACCAAAGUCGGGGACCGCAAGGCCUGACGCCUGGAGAGGAGCCCGCGCCUGAUUAGCUAGUUGGUGAGGUAAUGGCUCACCAAGGCGACGAUCAGUAGCCGGCCUGAGAGGGCGGACGGCCACACUGGGACUGAGACACGGCCCAGACUCCUACGGGAGGCAGCAGUGGGGAAUUGUUCGCAAUGGGCGCAAGCCUGACGACGCAACGCCGCGUGGAGGAUGAAGGUCUUCGGAUUGUAAACUCCUGUUGACCGGGAAGAAUGGAUCUCGUAUUAACACCGCGAGGUAAUGACGGUACCGGUUGAGGAAGCCACGGCUAACUCUGUGCCAGCAGCCGCGGUAAUACAGAGGUGGCAAGCGUUGUUCGGAAUUACUGGGCGUAAAGGGCGCGUAGGCGGCCGCCUAAGUCAGACGUGAAAUCCCCAAGCUUAACUUGGGAACUGCGUCUGAUACUGGGUGGCUUGAGUUCGGGAGAGGAAUGUGGAAUUCCAGGUGUAGCGGUGAAAUGCGUAGAUAUCUGGAGGAACACCGGUG